UCGACUGCACGGGCGCACUUAAAAACGAAUGACGGCUCACUUGACCACGCGAAGACGAAUGACGGCUCACUUGACCGCAGUGCAAAACGCCCAGGAUUUUUUACAACGAGCGCAUUGCUACCACCGGUUAGUGGACUUAUUGAGGACGCCGGCUAUAUCUGGACCCAGUGCACGGUAAUGUUGAUAUGAGUGUAAAACUGCCCCCAGCUAUAGCCACUCAUGUUGCGCCUAUUGCACAUUGUAGACAUAUAGUUAUAGGAGCCCCUUCUGCUCGGUGAGUGUUUAGUUCUGUGAGCACAGAACAUAUAAUACACAUAGUUACACUUUCUCAAAAACACCCUAGUCACACGAACAUGACCUGAUCUGGACUUGUUCACAUAUACUUGUUGAAGCAGUCACACACACACACACCCUCACAAACGGCCUUGGGUAAGUCACUACCAACACACAUCCUCACAAACGGCCUUGGAUAUCAUGCACUCACUCCCCCUAACUUCUGCCUCCUGUUUCUCAUGCUACAUUGACGCACACACAAAUAAGGCGGCGACUCAUCUGAAGACUAUAUAGGAUAACACCCCUAGACAUGAGCAGACUCUUCUUGUACACGACAUUGAUACAUGUACUGUACUUGAACUAUUCUCCGCACUUUGCAAACUGCGCAAUAAAUCUGUAUAAUUCUUA